rnacentral:lncRNA from 1 species
GAAGAAUUCAGGAUUCAGUUCAAUUUACAGGUAUAUAACAAAACCUCAAAGAUAAUUAACAGGAUUAGAAUAUAUUAUCCAGAAAGGUACGAACAAAAUUUUUCACUCUUCAGUACCCCUGUUUUUUCUCUCUUUUUUUUUUUUUACCAAAGACAAUCACAGAAAAACUAAUUUGUUUGCAAUAAACUCAGCCUGAUUAUUUGCAUAAGCGUCACAAGAACAAUGGUAGACCAUAUAAGCUCUUUUCAAGACUGCUUGCUGAAACUUUUCAUAAGGAUUCUCAGUUUGGUCUCUUAAAAGAACUCUGAGAUCAGAAAGCCAAGCCAAGAUUUUGCCUGCCAUACCUGUGGUUUGGGUGUUGAGUCCAGCCAGCUGAGGAGGGGAGGAGCAUAAAGAAAUGAACAUGGUGCACUGGGGUGCAUUGUGGGGUCAGAUGUGGAUGUGGCCCUCCUCACUUCCUCUCACAUUCCACUGGAAAGAACUUAGCCACAUGGUCAAUCUAAUUGCAAGGAAGGCUGGGAAAUGUGGUCUGGUUGUGCGUUACAGAAGGUAAGACAGUGUUUAACGGACAGCUAGCAAUUCCUGCCACAAAUAAUACCCAUUGAAUUAUAGAUUUGAUAUUAGGGAUGUUUUUGCUAAUACGUAGCAAAAUAAAUAUGUAACCACUAUAAAAUGCUUUGAAGUUUGUUUGCACGUCAUCUAAAACAAUCUUGCAUAAGUCUGGGAGUAAGUGUGGUACACUUUGGUAAACACUGAGCUUUUUUAGGGGAGUUGUUGGGGGAGUAGUGGAAGGACUGGUACAUGCAGCCAGGGCCAGAGGCUGAGAGGGAAGAGAAUUGGGCUUCAGGUUGGUGAGAAAUGUCCAGAGUCCAAGGGCACCUGGAGGGAAGAGGAGAAGGGGCAGGGAGCCAUGGGGGAAGGGGCUCCUUCCUGCCCAUCUGAGGUGGGGUCCUAUGGGCUUGAUGGGAUAGAAACAAAAUCAGCAAAGAAAAAAGUGCUGGCCCCAACUUCUGUUCUGCCUGUGAGUUAAUCAUUUCAGUCAGAUUCCUUAGGUAAUGGAUUGUAUUUUUCCCCUUUCCAAAUGUUACAGGGAAAAGGGACAACAAUAAAUGGUAUUGGUUUGUAAUUUAAGUAUUUUGUUUGGUUCUCUUUUCCUUCCAAGUCUUACAGUAUCACAUCACCAGCGCCCCCUG